rnacentral:rRNA from 1 species
CCCAGGAGGUGUUGUCCACACAGGUAUAACUACUAGGAAAGGUAGAUAUCUGAACUAGCGAUGAGGCACACAAUAUAAUGCAGGAGUCCUUGUCCAACCUUACCC